GGCGGAUGCCUUGGCGAUUACAGGCGAUGAAGGACGCGAUAGUCUGCGAAAAUUCUCGGGGAGUUGGCAAAUAAACUUUGAUCCGGGAGUGUCCGAAUGGGGAAACCCACCCUUUUAGGGUAUCCAUCUCUGAAUACAUAGGAGAUGUGAAGCGAACCGAGCGAACUGAAACAUCUAAGUAGCUCGAGGAAAAAAAAAAAAA
rnacentral:rRNA from 1 species